AAGUGGUCUAAUUCCAGUAGUGCCCUUCGGAGUUGGGUAAUCUCGCAUUUGCCCCUGCUGUAUCUUCUUGAACUGUCUGGACUCUGGACUCUUCGUUAGUGGGGAAGUGACAUACAUCCUCCCGAACUAAAUUCUUCUCCUUUUCUGUCUCGCCAAAGAUUUCUCCCUCUCCAUAUAAACGAUUACUCAUCCAUUUUCCUCUCAAAAAUAUCUGUUGGAGAAAUUGAGAGCAAAGGAACAAAGAGCUUGAUCUUCACCGGUUAGUAUAAAUUUUUUUGCGGCCUCAUUCUUCUUCUUCGUUUAGUUCUGUUGUUCUCUCUUGCUUUCUUCGCUGUCUUAUUUCCUUACAUUUGAGAGACACCUCUCUCUGCAUGGGUUUAGAGUUGUCAUAUUGGGUUUCCAUCAGCAAGAAGAAGAGAGGAGAUUCUGGGUUAUUGAGUUUUUGAUGUGUUGGGCUGAGACAAGAUCAAGACAAGAGAAAUCUGGGUAAGUGGUUCUGUAUUUUCUCUUUUUAAUUUCGUCUAAUUGCUAGCAAUUUUCUUUUUGAUUGCUUCAUGUCUGCAGGUUUUCUAAUCGAUUUUCCCAGCUUUGAUAUUCUAUUUGUUUAAGAGUCAUGAAUACAUGUGUUUUGGAUUAGUUGCAGUCUUGCAGAUUGUAGAUUCAUUUUGGUUCCACAUUCAGGCGAACUGAUUCUCUCUUUGGUUAUUUCAAAAGGCAUAUGCACUUUUUUUCUAUUUUAGUUCCAAUGUUGUGAUCUAAUUGCAUGUUUGGUUCCCCUGACAUUGUCAUUUGCUGUAUUUUGCAGGAAGUAGAGGAGUCUGUUCUCAGUUGGAGUAAUGGUUCAGUUUGUAUUAAGCUUUUCCUCGAAUUCGACUACAUCAAUUACUCGGUAAAGGUCUUUUUCCCUAACUUUGGUUACAAUAUUUCUGUUGAAGUAAUGGUUCAGUUUGUUCUUGAUUUCUGAAUAUUUAAACCUUAUGUUCUCAGAUCUAUCAUGGGAUUGUGUGGGUUGGUAUUGCAACAGAAUCUUUGUUUGCUAUUGGUAUUUUGCUGCCUGCCGGAUUUGUUAAGAUAUAUCCCACUUAUAUUCUUCUUCUCAAUUUUAUGACUGUUGUGGUUUGUUCCUAUGCGGUACAAAAGCUCAAUUGCUUUGAUCUUAUUCCUAUUUUUCACCAUCCUCUUAUUAAAGUGUAAUGUUUUUCAUGUUGUACAUGUCCGGUCAAUUACCAGAUCAGUGUGGAUAAUCUUUGUUUGAUUUCAGUUAUGGUUAUAGGUUAUCAUUUGGUUUUCUUCAUUGAAGGUAAAUUUGAAUUUUGGUUGUGGGUUUCCGAAUUUCCGCAAUUUGAAAUAUGGGUAUCGAAUUUUGGAUUGAGACCAUCUUUUGUGACAGAGAGAAAGAGGAUUUGAUAGCUGUGAUUGUCGCCUUCUGAUUUCCAGUCAGAUUUCUAAAGCUUUGUUUCCUCAAUUCUAGGUGAGAAAUGAAUUUUUGUUGUUUAACUUUAGUCUGGGUAAUUCAUUCUCAAGCCAUGUUUAUUUACAGUUCUUUCUGAUCGAUUAGAGUUAUAGAAGAUAGGUUUUUGUGCUUGAGAAUUGUGCUUCAAACUUAGUGAGAGAAUCCUGUUUGUUUGAAUUUUUUUUCCCCAAGCCCCACUCAUGUACUGCCUGAGGUUUAGGAUUCAGAGUAGAUUACUCAAGGGGCUGAAUAAGUGUAGGAUUAGAAAAGAAUAAUAGGGAUAGAUGGAGGAACAGAUUGAGAACAUUAUGUCUUUAAUUGAGGUCCUUCACUUCAAAAGAUAUCCUUAUGAUAAAUCUGUUUAGUUUAAAUUUAUGUUUUGUUCAGUUCAAACUCUCUGCUUAUAUGUUUCAUAAACUUUGUUUUCUUCUAUGUAUAUACUUUGAGAACAGAGAGACAUAGUUUCUGCCUAUUAUGCAAAUAAAAACAGUCCUAAAGUAUUUUCUCUCAUGUGUUUAAUAAUAUCACACCUCCAUUUUGUUAAUGCAUGUAUAGUAGAUUUUGUUUCCGUUUAAUUGCAGAGUGGAAAAUGAUUUAUAGCACCUGAAGUACUUCCCGAAAAAUUUUCCCUUAUCGGAUGCAUGAUCGAAUAAUAGUCUAUUUUACAAUGAUGCCUCAAGUGUUCAACA
rnacentral:lncRNA from 1 species